rnacentral:rRNA from 1 species
CCUACGGGUGGCAGCAGUGGGGAAUAUUGCACAAUGGGGGAAACCCUGAUGCAGCAACGCCGCGUGGGGGAAGGAGGGUUUAGGCGCGGAAAGCCCUGUCAGCGGGGAAGAAGAAAGACGGAACCGGACCAAGAAGCACCGGCUAACUACGUGCCAGCAGCCGCGGUAAGACGUAGGGGGCGAGCGUUAUCCGGAAUUACGGGGUGUAAAGGGAGCGUAGACGGCGUGGGAAGGCGGAAGUGGAAGCACGAGGCACACCCGCGGAACUGCGUUGGGUACGGUUUUGCUGGUGUAUGGGAGGGGUAAGCGGUAUUCCUGUUGUAGCGGUGAACUGCUUAGAUCUCAGGCGG